GGCCUUCAUAGUUUGUUUCCUUUGAAGUUACCUCUUUUCUAGUUCCUGAUCAUCGACAACGGGAGAAAGUGUAAAUGAUUCUAGUAUGUUUCUGGAGAAAGUGGAGAGUAUUUUCGAGAGACCUCAAGAUCUUUUGGGCUUGAAGGCUUACAGUUCUUUCUUGGUAUAUUGUGCCGGCCGGAAAAAUGACAUAUGUGGACGAAAAGAAUACAAUGAAGAAAUGUAUCUGGGCGUCUCAUAUAAGUUAUUACUGGAAUGCUGGUAGUUAAAUCUAAGUUACCAUUUCGAUUUGUUUCGUUUGAAAUUUCGAUUUGUUUCGUUUGAAACUCGCACGACGGGAUAGAUGCCUAUGGGCCAGUAAUUUGAACUGCAGUAUUCUGAGUAUGAAUAUGCUUAUAAUUA